rnacentral:tRNA from 1 species
GCUGGGGUCAGAGCUCAGUUGGUAGAGUGCUCGCCUCGCAGGCCCAGGGAGGGCCCUGGGUUCAGUUCCCAGCACCACCA